CCUACGGGAGGCUGCAGUGAGGAAUAUUGGUCAAUGGGCUUGCGCCUGAACCAGCCAAGUCGCGUGAGGGAGGACUGCCCUACGGGUUGUAAACCUCUUUUGCCAGGGAGCAACGCGCGCCACGUGUGGCGCCACUGAGAGUACCCGGAGAAAAAGCAUCGGCUAACUCCGUGCCAGCAGCCGCGGUAAUACGGAGGAUGCGAGCGUUAUCCGGAUUUAUUGGGUUUAAAGGGUGCGUAGGCGGAACGCUAAGUCAGCGGUAAAAGCGCGGGGCUCAACCUCUUCCCGCCGUUGAAACUGGCGCUCUUGAGUGGAAGAGAAGUAUGCGGAAUGCGUGGUGUAGCGGUGAAAUGCAUAGAUAUCACGCAGAACCCCGAUUGCGAAGGCAGCAUGCCGGCUUCCAACUGACGCUGAAGCACGAAAGCGUGGGGAUCGAACAGGAUUAGAUACCCGUGUAGUC
rnacentral:rRNA from 1 species